rnacentral:lncRNA from 1 species
UAAAUGAAUGUAUAAUAUAGUUAUGAAAAUAAUGUUACUGAGCCAAAAAAGAAUGAAACUCACUAGCAUCUGAAGACGACCCUCCCUGGGAGCCGUCACCCGAUCCGGAGUGGUCGCCACCACGGCCACCUCCACCGCUAUGUCGAGGCAUAUAUAGCUGUACUACUGAAAUAACAGACAUAGAUACGAUGAAGGAUCAAAUGGCCAUCCUAUGUGUGGG